UGGGGAAUUUUGGACAAUGGACGCAAGUCUGAUCCAGCCAUGCCGCGUGCGGGAAGAAGGCCUUCGGGUUGUAAACCGCUUUUGUCAGGGAAGAAACGAGUUUCUCUAAUACAGAGACUUAAUGACGGUACCUGAAGAAUAAGCACCGGCUAACUACGUGCCAGCAGCCGCGGUAAUACGUAGGGUGCAAGCGUUAAUCGGAAUUACUGGGCGUAAAGCGUGCGCAGGCGGUUAUGCAAGACAGAUGUGAAAUCCCCGGGCUCAACCUGGGAACUGCAUUUGUGACUGCAUAGCUGGAGUGCGGCAGAGGGGGAUGGAAUUCCGCGUGUAGCAGUGAAAUGCGUAGAUAUGCGGAGGAACACCGAUGGCGAAGGCAAUCCCCUGGGCCUGUACUGACGCUCAUGCACGAAAGCGUGGGGAGCGAACA
rnacentral:rRNA from 1 species